rnacentral:misc_RNA from 1 species
UCCAGUUUAUCACCGGCAGUCUCUCUAGAGUGCCCAGCAUUACCUGAUGGCAACUAAAGACAAAGGUUGCGCUCGUUGCGGGACUUAACCCAACACUUCACAGCACGAGCUGACGACAGCCAUGCAGCACCUGUGUAAAGGUCUCUUGCGAGAAGAUCGGCUUUCACCGACUGUCCUAAACAUGUCAAGCCUGGGUAAGGUUCUUCGCGUAGCCUCGAAUUAAACCACAUGCUCCACCGCUUGUGCGGGUCCCCGUCAAUUUCUUUGAGUUUCAGUCUUGCGACCGUACUCCCCAGGUGGUAGAUUUAAUGUGUUAACGUCGGCGCCAGGGGGAUCGACACCCCUGAUACCUAAUCUACAUCGUUUACGGCAAGGACUAC